UACGUAGGGGGCAAGCGUUGUCCGGAAUCAUUGGGCGUAAAGCGCGCGUAGGCGGCCCGGUAAGUCCGCUCUGAAAGUCCAGGGCUUAACCCUGGAAAGCGGGUGGAUACUGCCGGGCUAGAAUCCGGAAGAGGCGAGUGGAAUUCCUGGUGUAGCGGUGGAAUGCGCAGAUAUCAGGAGGAACACCAAUGGCGAAGGCAGCUCGCUGGGACGUUACUGACGCUGAGACGCGAAAGCGUGGGGAGCAAACAGG
rnacentral:rRNA from 1 species